UCCUGCGAUGUGUGCUUUGGAUACUGU
rnacentral:piRNA from 1 species